GCCUGAUGGAGGGGGAUAACUACUGGAAACGGUAGCUAAUACCGCAUAAUGUCGCAAGACCAAAGAGGGGGACCUUCGGGCCUCUUGCCAUCGGAUGUGCCCAGAUGGGAUUAGCUUGUUGGUGGGGUAACGGCUCACCAAGGCGACGAUCCCUAGCUGGUCUGAGAGGAUGACCAGCCACACUGGAACUGAGACACGGUCCAGACUCCUACGGGAGGCAGCAGUGGGGAAUAUUGCACAAUGGGCGCAAGCCUGAUGCAGCCAUGCCGCGUGUAUGAAGAAGGCCUUCGGGUUGUAAAGUACUUUCAGCGGGGAGGAAGGGAGUAAAGUUAAUACCUUUGCUCAUUGACGUUACCCGCAGAAGAAGCACCGGCUAACUCCGUGCCAGCAGCCGCGGUAAUACGGAGGGUGCAAGCGUUAAUCGGAAUUACUGGGCGUAAAGCGCACGCAGGCGGUUUGUUAAGUCAGAUGUGAAAUCCCCGGGCUCAACCUGGGAACUGCAUCUGAUACUGGCAAGCUUGAGUCUCGUAGAGGGGGGUAGAAUUCCAGGUGUAGCGGUGAAAUGCGUAGAGAUCUGGAGGA
rnacentral:rRNA from 1 species